AGGAGGCAGCAGUGGGGAAUAUUGCACAAUGGAGGAAACUCUGAUGCAGCGACGCCGCGUGAGGGAAGAAGGUCUUCGGAUUGUAAACCUCUGUCUUUGGGGACGAAACAAAUGACGGUACCCAAAGAGGAAGCCACGGCUAACUACGUGCCAGCAGCCGCGGUAAUACGUAGGUGGCAAGCGUUGUCCGGAUUUACUGGGUGUAAAGGGUGCGCAGGCGGGUUAUCAAGUUGGGUGUGAAAUCUCCGUGCUUAACGCGGAGCUUGCAUUCAAAACUGGUGAUCUUGAGUGAGGUAGAGGUAGGCGGAAUUCCCGGUGUAGCGGUGAAAUGCGUAGAGAUCGGGAGGAACACCAGUGGCGAAGGCGGCCUACUGGGCCUUUACUGACGCUGAGGCACGAAAGCAUGGGUAGCAAACAGGAUUAGAUACCCCUGUAGUCCG
rnacentral:rRNA from 1 species